GGGUUGGGUUCACAAAAAAGCGGGUUUGGGGCGGGUUGGGCUCCCGUGCUCCCAUCUCACGAGCGGAGCGGCUCCCUCACGCAAGCGGCGGCGCGAAGCUCAUCCGCCGCCAGCUCGCUGCCGUCGUCAUCGCGCCUCCGCUCCAGGCUCCAGCGUCGUCUCCUCCAACACCGGUAGCAGAUCCAGUAGAUCCAUGGAGGGGGAGGCAGAGUAGGCCAACGGCGGCCUCCCCGAGUUCCCGUUCGUGGCCGGUCAAGCAAGCCGAGCAGCUAGCGACGAGCUCGGCCAAUCGCCUGGACACUUGUCCCCUCCCGUUCCUGACCUGACCCGCAAAUCAAACGGGGGUCCAGGCGGCAUCGUCAUCCCCAACCCCUAGCCCCUUCUCCCAGCGACCUUCGGCCUCCGCUGCGCUCCGGCUGGAAUGACUUAUUGUUCCCGAUUAGCUCGAUGAUUCCACAAACACUUGAAGCUCUAGUUUGCUGCAAAGAUUGGCUUUAUAAAUACCAGUGAAGGAAUCUUUGAUCUGCGAGGCAUCCGUGUUGAAAAUGGUGAUCUCCAGUUCUUAAAGUUUGUGAUGCACCAUUGGUAAGCCAAAGACUAAUAUAGCUGGGCGGGAUUGUAGAAGCUCGUCAAGAAGUCAAAGCACUCAAUAGAGUACAGUCGAUCAAGCUGGCUGGGGAUGGCGAUUUGCUGAGAAGAAGCUGAUGAUCUAGGAAGCGAUACAGAGGAGAUGUCUUUUUCACUGGAUUUCUGUGGCUGUACAAGCUCUAAUUUUGCACCAUUACAUGUUCCUGAAACGAUCUAACAGUCGCAUGUGUGAGGCAUGGCUCUGUGUAUCUGAAAUCAUGAUUGACCUUGCAUAUGCUGGGUUUGCUUUUGGAACAUUGUCAUUCUGAACCUGAUAAUCGAUCUUCAGUGCGUUAUUGUA